rnacentral:rRNA from 1 species
CUACGGGCUGCAGCAGUGAGGAAUAUUGCACAAUGGGGGGAACCCUGAUGCAGCAACGCCGCGUGGAGGAUGACGCAUUUCGGUGUGUAAACUCCUUUUAUAUGUCAAGAAAAUGACGGUAGCAUAUGAAUAAGCACCGGCUAACUCCGUGCCAGCAGCCGCGGUAAUACGGAGGGUGCAAGCGUUACUCGGAAUCACUGGGCGUAUAGGACGCGUAGGCGGGUUGGAAAGUCAGGUGUGAAAUCCUACAGCUUAACUGUAGAACUGCACUUGAAACUUCUAAUCUAGAGUAUGGGAGGGGGAGAUGGAAUUAGUGGUGUAGGGGUAAAAUCCGUAGAUAUCACUAGGAAUACCUAAAGCGAAGGCGAUCUCCUGGAACAUUACUGACGCUAAGGCGUGAAAGCGUGGGGAGCAAACAGGAUUAGAUACCCGAGUAGUC